AUUGAACGCUGGCGGAAUGCUUUACACAUGCAAGUCGAACGGCAGCACGGACUUCGGCCUGGUGGCGAGUGGCGAACGGGUGAGUAACAUAUCGGAACGUAUCCAAUAAUGGGGGAUAACGAGUCGAAAGAUUCGCUAAUACCGCAUACGCCCUACGGGGGAAAGCUGGGGACCUUCGGGCCUGGCGUUAAUGGAGCGGCCGAUAUCUGAUUAGCUAGUUGGUGAGGUAAAGGCCCACCAAGGCGACGAUCAGUAGCUGGUCUGAGAGGACGACCAGCCACAUUGGAACUGAGCCACGGUCCAGACUCCUACGGGAGGCAGCAGUGGGGAAUUUUGGACAAUGGGAGCAAGCCUGAUCCAGCCAUUCCGCGUGAGUGAAGAAGGCCUUCGGGUUGUAAAGCUCUUUCGCAGGGGAAGAAAACUUAGCCACUAACAUUGGUUGAGGUUGACGGUACCUUGAUAAGAAGCACCGGCUAACUACGUGCCAGCCGCCGCUGUAA
rnacentral:rRNA from 1 species